rnacentral:rRNA from 1 species
ACGAACGCUGGCGGCGUGCUUAACACCUGCAAGUCGAACGAUGAAGAAGAGAAACGCGAACUUCGGUUCAAAUUUCACUUCGGAUUAGUGGCAGACGGGUGAGUAACGCGUGAGCAACCUACCUCUUACAAAGGGAUAGCCUCGGGAAACCGUGAUUAAUACCAUAUGACACAUUCAUAAGGCAUCUUAAGAAUGUUAAAGCUACGGCGGUAAGAGAUGGGCUCGCGUCCCAUUAGCUAGUUGGUGAGGUAACGGCCCACCAAGGCGACGAUGGGUAACCGGCCUGAGAGGGUGAACGGUCACAUUGGAACUGAGACACGGUCCAAACUCCUACGGGAGGCAGCAGUGGGGAAUAUUGCACAAUGGAGGGAACUCUGAUGCAGCGACGCCGCGUGAGCGAUGAAGGAAUUCGUUUCGUAAAGCUCUGUUCUAUGGGAAGAAAAGGACUGUACCAUAGGAGAAAGCCCCGGCUAAAUACGUG